rnacentral:lncRNA from 1 species
UCUGACUCCACCUGCUGCUGGUUCUCCAGCACUUACCCCACCCUGAGGUGGCUAGAACACAACAGUGAGUGAGCUUGGAAGCUAGCAAGCAGGCUGAAUUUCUUAAACGCCUAAAAUGCCUCGGCAUGUCUCAAAAAAGCUCAGUGAACAAAGGAGGAAGGAAUAAAAUAAAAUAAGAGUGAAUAUUGGCAGUGAAUUUGAAAAGUGAAGAAGACCUAGAGCUUAAAAAAACUACAAGACCGAUGCCGAGCUGCUACUUUUCUCCUCAGCAGGCUGCACUGUAAACUCAGUGAAGGCAGUCUGAGACACACGUUUGGUCUGGGAGCAGAGGACAGGUCUGACAUAUGAAGAGGUGAGACUUCAUUCUUACGUUGCCUUCUCUUUUCUCUACUGCGCUGAUUAAUCCUGGCUGCAAAUUUGACAAAAUGUCAAAAAAAAUGUAAGGAAAAGGAAAUACAGUAAAUG